rnacentral:rRNA from 1 species
UACGUAGGGUGCGAGCGUUGUCCGGAAUUAUUGGGCGUAAAGAGCUCGUAGGCGGUGUGUCACGUCGAUCGUGAAAACUUGGGGCUUAACCCUGAGCUUGCGGUCGAUACGGGCAUCACUGGAGUUCGGCAGGGGAGACUGGAAUUCCUGGUGUAGCGGUGAAAUGCGCAGAUAUCAGGAGGAACACCGGUGGCGAAGGCGGGUCUCUGGGCCGAUACUGACGCUGAGGAGCGAAAGCGUGGGGAGCAAACGGG